UGGUUAUUUAUUUCUGGAUGCACAAAACUUCACAUUUAUUAUCUUAUUUAGGCCUCAUAGAAGCUUUUGUGGAGAAGGAAAUGGCAACCCACUCCAGUAUUCUUGCCUAGAGAAUCCUGUGGACAGAGGAGCCUGGUGGGCUGUCUAUGGGGUCUCACAGAGUCGGACAUGACUGAAGCAACUUAGCAGCAGCAGAAGCUUUUGAGGGGGUGUUAUGUUAUGACUCUCCCUUUAUCAGUGAAGAAAUGGGACUCAGAGAUGUUAGGUGACUUGUCCACAGUCCCACAGUUAUUAAUAAAUGACAACAGCAUGAUUUCAACCCAAUUAUAGCUGCCUGCAAAGCCCACUCUUAACCACUACACUUACUGUGUUAGUCAAAGGUAAGACUCUAUCCCCAUCCUUGUGUGUAAUAGAUACCACUAAAGACUGGUUUAAUAUAAUAACGGCUAUCAUUUUCUCUCUCUUAUUCCAUACGUUCUCAUCAACUUUUGUUGUUUUUGAGUUGCUAAGUUGUGUCCCAUGGACUAUAUAACCCACCAGGCUCCUCUGUCCAUGGGAUUUCUCAGGAAAGAAUAUUGGAGCAGGUUGCCAUUUCCUUCUCCAGGGCAUCUUCCCUACCCAGGGAUAGAACCUGCAUUUCCUGCAUUGGCAGGCAGAUUCUUUAUCACUGAGCCACCAUGGAAGCCCCUCAUCUACUUUGUAGAUGAAGAAAUUGCAGCUUGGAAUAUUGUUACUUAACAGAGCCACUCAACUGACAAGUAGUGGAUUCUGAGGUGGGACAGGGAGGGGUUUUCUUUGUUAUAGCUGUCUGUCUCCCGAGCCUCUCAUUGGUGCCUUUCAACCCCCUAAUUCAGCAUCCAGGCUGCUAUUUAAUGUUGUGGUCCCCUCACCUACCCGCAUACAAAUCUCCAGGGGCCUCAUACAGCUAGACUUUGGUCCACCAUUCCUACUGUACCUUCAUCAUGCUCCAGUUCUCUGUGGCAGGAAUCUUAAGGUGUGAAACAGAUAACCAAAUCCCUGCUAAAGGAGAGCUGGCUAAGUAAUAAUCAGCUUUUCCUCAAUAACAGCAUGUCAGCAGCCCAGCCAGCCAGAACCCAGAUCUCUUCACCCCUCCCAACCAGGCCUGAGCAUUUUCCAUCCUAUUGGUCUCAGGGUGCACAGAGGUAACUGGCAGCCAGAGGGUUGUACAUUAUAACCAUUACUCUGUCCCAAACUCUUUUCCAAAGAAUAACUAAUGAUGUGUUAACUGGGGAUGUUAUGGGCCAGCAAAGUCAUCUCAGGUUAGGGAUUACUUCAGGAUUCAGUUCUUCAGCCCUUCCUGACUACCCACUCUUCCAGGAAGGACAGGUCACUUCCUCUGAGACCCCACUGUUGAGUGGACUGUUCCUGAUUUGCUAUUUGGGAUUCAUUUCUGCUGAUACAGCUGUUUUGCUUUUUUCAUUUUCUUUUUAAUUUAACUUGAUUGUUCUUAGGCAGAACUCACUGGUAGCUCAACUGGUAAAGAAUCUGCAUGCAAUGCAGGAGGCUCCAGUUCGAUUCUUGGGUCAGGAAGAUCCCCUGGAGAAGGGAUAGGCUACCCACUCCAGUAUUCUUGCCUGGAGAAUCCCAUGGACAGAGGAGCUUUGUGGGCUACGGUCCACGGGGUUGCAAAGAGUCAGACACGACUGAGCAACUAACACUGAUUAUUCUUACAAAUAGGUAACAUGUACAAGUAAACAAGUUCGAAAUAUCAAAGAGUUUACAAUGAAAAGUAGAUCUCUCCUACACUAUCCAUUCUUACCCCAGCAUCCCUUUCUGGAGGCAAACACAGCACCAGCUUCCUGUGUUGCCUUCCAAGGUAGUCUAACCAGCAGUUCUCUACUCUGGCUACACAUCAGAAUCUCUUGGGAAACUUUUAGAAAAUAAAAAUACUUUGGUCUCAUCCUCAGUUAUUAUGAUUGAGUUGGGAAAGAGUGGGCUCAGGCAUUGAUGCUUUUUAAAAGCCCACCAGAAGAUUCUAAUAUACACCUAGGGUUGAUAAGCCUAUCUGUUGCAUGUACAAGACUCCCCCAAUCAACCAAUUAGUCACUCUCAUAUAUACUUAAAAAAAAAAAAAAUGGGCAGGGACUUCCCUGGUGGUCCAGUGGUUAAGAAUCCAUCUUGCAAUGAAGGGGACAGACAAGGGUUCGAUCCCUGGUCAGGGAACUAAGAUCCCAUAUGCCUCAGAGCAACUAAAUCCACCUGCUGCGACUACUCAGCCUGCACGCUCUGGAGCUCGUGUGCCUCAACCAGAGUCCAUGCACUGCAGUGAAAGGUCCCGCGUGGAGCUCGUGUGCCUCAACCAGAGAGUCCCUGCACUGCAGUGAAAGGUCCCACGUGGAGCUCGUGUGCCUCAACCAGAGAGUCCAUGCACUGCAAUGAAAGAUCCCGUGUGACAAUGAAGAUCCUGCAUGCUGCCACUAAGACCUGACACAGCCAAAUAAAUAAAUAAA
ensembl:lncRNA